rnacentral:misc_RNA from 1 species
GUGAAUCAUCGAAUCUUUGAACGCAAAUUGCACUCUCUUCGGAGAGUAUGCCUGUUUGAGGGUCAGCCUAAAAAAAAUCGCCUUAUUCGCUGUUUCGCGGUGACAUUCGUCGGAAAUUGGGUCAUCUUAAACCUUGGGGUUUUUUAAUCGGCUUAAAAUUUUCUUUACGUUUCCACGAACUUUUCUAAGAUUUUUUUUCUUACACACUUUUAAUGUAUCGAUCUUUAUUAGAUGUUUCUGUUG